ACAGAUGGACCCGCGGCGCAUUAGCUAGUUGGUGAGGUAACGGCUCACCAAGGCAACGAUGCGUAGCCGACCUGAGAGGGUGAUCGGCCACACUGGGACUGAGACACGGCCCAGACUCCUACGGGAGGCAGCAGUAGGGAAUCUUCCGCAAUGGACGAAAGUCUGACGGAGCAACGCCGCGUGAGUGAUGAAGGUUUUCGGAUCGUAAAGCUCUGUUGUUAGGGAAGAACAAGUACCGUUCGAAUAGGGCGGUACCUUGACGGUACCUAACCAGAAAGCCACGGCUAACUACGUGCCAGCAGCCGCGGUAAUACGUAGGUGGCAAGCGUUNUCCGGAAUUAUUGGGCGUAAAGGGCUCGCAGGCGGUUUCUUAAGUCUGAUGUGAAAGCCCCCGGCUCAACCGGGGAGGGUCAUUGGAAACUGGGG
rnacentral:rRNA from 1 species